rnacentral:tRNA from 1 species
GCCAGUUUGGCUCAAUGGAUAGAGCGUUGGCCUGCAGACCAAAUGUCCCUGGUUCGAUUCCGGUCAAGGGCA